UCGACGCGCCGGCUUCGCGCACCUCUUGAUUUCUUAUCUUAACUGUCGCGUCGUUGCUUGCGCAGUUUGCGGUCAGUUUCGUGCCGGUUUCAGGUUGAUCGAGACGUAUUCUACGCGACUCGUAUUGUUUGUAUUAUAUUUAAUCAUCACUCUCUAUUUAAUUGUAAUCACUAUAGUAAUAUAAUUUACUAUUUGCGCGUUUAUCGUCCGGCCGGUUUGUGAUCGCGCGGCAAGUGUAUAUUGCAAUUCACAAUAGUUGCUAGGUGAAUCAAUUAAAUAUCGUCUCCAUAUUGCUCCCAUCGUGCUGGUUAUUUGCUGUGCCUUGGAGUCCGAUGAGUUCUGCAUUGCACUUGCUGUGCCCCAGUGACUGAUGCGCACAAAAAUUCGAGUCACUACUACUGCCACCUUGAUACGGUGCCUUGAAUGGGAGUCACUACAGUCGCUACCUUCGAAUGGUGGCCCAAAUGGGAGUCUCUAUGGAUCCUUUGUUGGAUGAAGUAUUGUCUAAUUCUGAGAUGGCCAAGUUUAUCAAUAAGGACCAACUGGAGUGGUUCAGGUGGAGUGCGUAUUGAGGAUGAUGUUUUGAUUACUGAAAAUAGAUGUUGCAACUGGACUAAACUUAUAAGAACUGUCCAAGAAAUUGAAGAUUGGAUUGCCGGUGUUGAUGAUGAUUCCAAAUUCGAUUGAAUGAAUUUACAACAUUUCGAAGCUGUUAUUGAUAUCAUUUUUGUUUAUUAUGUUAAAAAUUGUAAAAAGAGCAUUGUAUAAUUACAUGUAUAUAUUGAGAAAUUGAGUUACUGAUGGGUGUAUAUUCUACAUGUUUGAAUAAAAUUGUUGUUUUAUACUUUUAACUAUAAA